rnacentral:tRNA from 1 species
GCGGUCAUAGUUCAAUGGCAGAAUAGAGGCCUGUGGAGCCUCGGAAGCGAGUUCGAUUCUCGCUGAUCGCC